GAUGAACGCUAGCGGCAGGCCUAACACAUGCAAGUCGAGGGGUAGAGGAAGCUUGCUUCCUUGAGACCGGCGCACGGGUGCGUAACGCGUAUGCAAUCUGCCUUGUACUGAGGGAUAGCCCAGAGAAAUUUGGAUUAAUACCUCAUAGCAUUAUGAAAUCGCAUGGUUUUAUAAUUAAAGUUCCAACGGUACAAGAUGAGCAUGCGUCCCAUUAGUUAGUUGGUAAGGUAACGGCUUACCAAGACGAUGAUGGGUAGGGGUCCUGAGAGGGAGAUCCCCCACACUGGUACUGAGACACGGACCAGACUCCUACGGGAGGCAGCAGUGAGGAAUAUUGGUCAAUGGACGCAAGUCUGAACCAGCCAUGCCGCGUGCAGGAUGAAGCAUCUAUGGUGUGUAAACUGCUUUUGUACGGGAAGAAACACUCCUACGUGUAGGAACUUGACGGUACCGUAAGAAUAAGGAUCGGCUAACUCCGUGCCAGCAGCCGCCGUAAUAC
rnacentral:rRNA from 1 species